rnacentral:lncRNA from 1 species
GCAUUUAAAACAUGUGGGAACUAUCCACAUGUGAACAUUCAUUCACUCAUUAUCAAACAGAACAGUGAACUGCUUAGUUAGUUAAAUAUGUUUUAAAAUUAUUUGUUUUUGAUUAUAACCUACAAUAUUUCAGAAUUAUGUAAGCCAUCAUUCACACUGGACUACAUGUCCAGAAACCUCUACUUUUAUGGCUUUUUUCGGCUAAUGUUUUAACUUUUCUACAUCGAUGUUAAAAUUUACUGAAUAAAGUCCUGUGCUAAAGUG